rnacentral:tRNA from 1 species
AGCAGGGUAGAGCAGUUGCUCAUGUGGCUCAUAACCACAAGGUCGGCGGUUCAAGUCCGCCCCUUGCUA